AGUUAAUUAAGCUUUAGAUAAGCAAUUACUUUGAAAGUAAAAAAAAAAUGGUUAAAUUCCAUUAUUAACUU
rnacentral:tRNA from 1 species